rnacentral:rRNA from 1 species
AUGGCUAGGAUUGCAAGAGUCUGGGAGCUCAAAAGAAAAGACACAGGAACUACCUAUGAGGUGGACUUCCUACUGCUUGAUCGACAGGGUGGCACAAUGGAAGGUUUGAUUGCAGAGAAGAGAUUGGCCCAAUUUACGAAGCACAUUACCGAGGGAACAAUUUAUACAAUUGAGGACUUCAAUCUAUAUGAUGCCAAGAGCAGGUCUAGAUCUUCAGAUCACCCCCUCAGGGUAUGUUUCACAUUUCGCAUUAAGCUUAAAAAAGUGGAGCCCCAACCCGUGAAUUUCCCAAUAUUUGCCCACAACGCCAGGCCAUUCUCCGUGUUGGAAGCACGUGCUGAUCAAAACCACAUCUGA